GACUCGGUAGCUCAGCCGGUAGAGCACAUCACUUUUAAUGAUGGGGUCCUGGGUUCGAAUCCCAGCCGGGUCACAA
rnacentral:tRNA from 1 species